rnacentral:rRNA from 1 species
CCCUUCCGCACUCUAGCCUUACAGUAUCAGAUGCUGUUCUUCCGUUAAGCAGAAGGCUUUCACAACUGACUUAUAAGGCCGCCUACGUGCUCUUUACGCCCAAUAAUUCCGAACAACGCUUGCCGCCUCUGUAUUACCGCGGCUGCUGGCACAGAGUUAGCCGUGGCUUCCUCCGGAGCCUUAGUCAAGUAAGGAUACUAUUAGCACCCUUA